rnacentral:rRNA from 1 species
AACCAACAGAUUCACUUCGGUGAUGACGUUGGGAACGCGAGCGGCGGAUGGGUGAGUAACACGUGGGGAACCUGCCCCAUAGUCUGGGAUACCACUUGGAAACAGGUGCUAAUACCGGAUAAGAAAGCAGAUCGCAUGAUCAGCUUAUAAAAGGCGGCGUAAGCUGUCGCUAUGGGAUGGCCCCGCGGUGCAUUAGCUAGUUGGUAGGGUAACGGCCUACCAAGGCAAUGAUGCAUAGCCGAGUUGAGAGACUGAUCGGCCACAUUGGGACUGAGACACGGCCCAAACUCCUACGGGAGGCAGCAGUAGGGAAUCUUCCACAAUGGACGAAAGUCUGAUGGAGCAACGCCGCGUGAGUGAAGAAGGUUUUCGGAUCGUAAAGCUCUGUUGUUGGUGAAGAAGGAUAAAGGUAGUAACUGGCCUUUAUUUGACGGUAAUCAACCAGAAAGUCACGGCUAACUACGUGCCAGCAGCCGCGGUAAUACGUAGGUGGCAAGCGUUGUCCGGAUUUAUUGGGCGUAAAGCGAGCGCAGGCGGAAGAAUAAGUCUGAUGUGAAAGCCCUCGGCUUAACCGAGGAACUGCAUCGGAAACUGUUUUUCUUGAGUGCAGAAGAGGAGAGUGGAACUCCAUGUGUAGCGGUGGAAUGCGUAGAUAUAUGGAAGAACACCAGUGGCGAAGGCGGCUCUCUGGUCUGCAACUGACGCUGAGGCUCGAAAGCAUGGGUAGCGAACAGGAUUAGAUACCCUGGUAGUCCAUGCCGUAAACGAUGAGUGCUAAGUGGUUGGGAGGUUUCCGCCUCUCAGUGCUGCAGCUAACGCAUUAAGCACUCCGCCUGGGGGAGUACGACCGCAAGGUUGAAACUCAAAGGAAUUGACGGGGGCCCGCACAAGCGGUGGAGCAUGUGGUUUAAUUCGAAGCAACGCGAAGAACCUUACCAGGUCUUGACAUCUAGUGCAAUCCGUAGAGAUACGGAGUUCCCUUCGGGGACACUAAGCAGGUGGUGCAUGGCUGUCGUCAGCUCGUGUCGUGAGAUGUUGGGUUAAGUGCAACGAGCGCAACCCUUGUCAUUAGUUGCCAGCAUUAAGUUGGGCACUCUAAUGAGACUGCCGGUGACAAACCGGAGGAAGGUGGGGAUGACGUCAAGUCAUCAUGCCCCUUAUGACCUGGGCUACACACGUGCUACAAUGGACAGUACAACGAGGAGCAAGCCUGCGAAGGCAAGCGAAUCUCUUAAAGCUGUUCUCAGUUCGGACUGCAGUCUGCAACUCGACUGCAC